rnacentral:rRNA from 1 species
CUUGACAUCCAGAGAAUUUAGCAGAGAUGCUUUAGUGCCUUCGGGAACUCUGAGACAGGUGCUGCAUGGCUGUCGUCAGCUCGUGUUGUGAAAUGUUGGGUUAAGUCCCGCAACGAGCGCAACCCUUAUCCUUUGUUGCCAGCACGUAAUGGUGGGAACUCAAAGGAGACUGCCGGUGAUAAACCGGAGGAAGGUGGGGAUGACGUCAAGUCAUCAUGGCCCUUACGAGUAGGGCUACACACGUGCUACAAUGGCGCAUACAAAGAGAAGCGACCUCGCGAGAGCAAGCGGACCUCAUAAAGUGCGUCGUAGUCCGGAUUGGAGUCUGCAACUCGACUCCAUGAAGUCGGAAUCGCUAGUAAUCGUAAAUCAGAAUGUUACGGUGAAUACGUUCCCGGGCCUUGUACACACCGCCCGUCACACCAUGGGAGUGGGUUGCAAAAGAAGUAGAUAGCUUAACCUUCGGGAGGGCGUUUACCACUUUGUGAUUCAUGACUGGGGUGAAGUCGUAACAAGGUAGGCGUAGACGU